rnacentral:rRNA from 1 species
GGGUCAGUAGGUUGGUCGUGCCACCGGUACGUACUGGUCUCACUGAUUACUCCUUCCUGAAGAACCGUAAUGCCAUUAAUUUGGUGUUGCGGGGAAACAGGACUGUUACCUUGAAAAAAUUAGAGUGUUUAAAGCAAGCUAACGCUUGAAUACAUUAGCAUGGAAUAAUGAAAUAGGACGAUCGAUCCUAUUUUGUUGGUUUCUAGGAUUGACGUA